GCCAGGAUAGCUGAGUCGGCAGAGCAGGAGACUCUUAAACCCAUGGUCGUGGGUUCGAGCCCCGCGUUGGGCA